UACGGAGGGUGCAAGCAUUGAUCGGAAUUACUGGGCGUAAAGGGCGCGUAGGCGGCUUAGAAAGUCGGAUGUGAAAUUCCGGGGCUCAACCCCGGGGCUGCAUUUGAAACUCCUAAGCUAGAGUUCAGUUAGGGUAAACGGAAUUCCACGUGUAGCGGUGAAAUGCGUAGAUAUGUGGAAGAGCACCGGUGGUGAAGACGGUUUACUGGGCUGAUACUGACGCUGGGGCGCGAAAGCAUGGGGAGCAAACAGG
rnacentral:rRNA from 1 species